UCACCUUACUUCAAGAGUUCUAGUCCCUAGAACUCGACUAGCCACGUACCGAUCAGGUUUCUUCAAAAUUCUCGACCCUCUUAGAUCUUUCUCUGAACUUCUGAUUUUCCUUCUUUAGGACCCUUACAACUCUUGUUUAGACCAGAUAAGGCUUUGUCUUAAAUUUCAAAGCUUUAUCUAAGAUAGGUUGUAAGAAAGAAGGGA
rnacentral:lncRNA from 1 species